rnacentral:misc_RNA from 1 species
AACGCACGAGACCUGCGGACCUGCGGAGGGAUCAUUAACGAGUUAGGGUCCCUAACCGGCCCGACCUCCCAACCCUGUGUCUAUCGCACCUUUUGUUGCUUCGGCGGGCCCGUUCCCCUUGGGGGACCGCCGGGGGACCGUCGAGAGACGUCCCCUGGCCCGCGCCCGCCGGUGGCCAACCUUUAACAAACUCUUAAACAAUGAAUCGUGUAUUCUCGUGUCUAAGUCCUUGAUUAAAUC